rnacentral:rRNA from 1 species
GGAGCUUGCUCCCGGAUGUUAGCGGCGGACGGGUGAGUAACACGUGGGUAACCUGCCUGUAAGACUGGGAUAACUCCGGGAAACCGGAGCUAAUACCGGAUAGUUCCUUGAACCGCAUGGUUCAAGGAUGAAAGACGGUUUCGGCUGUCACUUACAGAUGGACCCGCGGCGCAUUAGCUAGUUGGUGAGGUAACGGCUCACCAAGGCGACGAUGCGUAGCCGACCUGAGAGGGUGAUCGGCCACACUGGGACUGAGACACGGCCCAGACUCCUACGGGAGGCAGCAGUAGGGAAUCUUCCGCAAUGGACGAAAGUCUGACGGAGCAACGCCGCGUGAGUGAUGAAGGUUUUCGGAUCGUAAAGCUCUGUUGUUAGGGAAGAACAAGUGCAAGAGUAACUGCUUGCACCUUGACGGUACCUAACCAGAAAGCCACGGCUAACUACGUGCCAGCAGCCGCGGUAAUACGUAGGUGGCAAGCGUUGUCCGGAAUUAUUGGGCGUAAAGGGCUCGCAGGCGGUUUCUUAAGUCUGAUGUGAAAGCCCCCGGCUCAACCGGGGAGGGUCAUUGGAAACUGGGAAACUUGAGUGCAGAAGAGGAGAGUGGAAUUCCACGUGUAGCGGUGAAAUGCGUAGAGAUGUGGAGGAACACCAGUGGCGAAGGCGACUCUCUGGUCUGUAACUGACGCUGAGGAGCGAAAGCGUGGGGAGCGAACAGGAUUAGAUACCCUGGUAGUCCACGCCGUAAACGAUGAGUGCUAAGUGUUAGGGGGUUUCCGCCCCUUAGUGCUGCAGCUAACGCAUUAAGCACUCCGCCUGGGGAGUACGGUCGCAAGACUGAAACUCAAAGGAAUUGACGGGGGCCCGCACAAGCGGUGGAGCAUGUGGUUUAAUUCGAAGCAACGCGAAGAACCUUACCAGGUCUUGACAUCCUCUGACAACCCUAGAGAUAGGGCUUUCCCUUCGGGGACAGAGUGACAGGUGGUGCAUGGUUGUCGUCAGCUCGUGUCGUGAGAUGUUGGGUUAAGUCCCGCAACGAGCGCAACCCUUGAUCUUAGUUGCCAGCAUUCAGUUGGGCACUCUAAGGUGACUGCCGGUGACAAACCGGAGGAAGGUGGGGAUGACGUCAAAUCAUCAUGCCCCUUAUGACCUGGGCUACACACGUGCUACAAUGGACAGAACAAAGGGCUGCGAGACCGCAAGGUUUAGCCAAUCCCACAAAUCUGUUCUCAGUUCGGAUCGCAGUCUGCAACUCGACUGCGUGAAGCUGGAAUCGCUAGUAAUCGCGGAUCAGCAUGCCGCGGUGAAUACG